CCGACACUUCACGUAUACCUAUUCCUACCGCGACCGGUCAAAUGACCGGUCUUUAGCACAACUUAUAUUUUUUAAUAUAGGAUGAAAAUAAUAGCCAAUUUAAUAAUAUAAAAAUAUAGUUUCUUUUAUUUAGAAGUAUAUACUAUGUACUUUAUUCGUUUUCACCACAUUUUUUGCAAAUAGGCCUCUCGAUUGUACAUUUUCCACAUACAUACUUUUUACAUUGCAGACCAAUAUUAUUGGUUUUAUUAUCUUUGCACUAUCUAAUUUGACAUGUUUUACGUUUUUCUGCACUGUCAUUUUCAAUAUCAAAAAUUUCCUGAUCAUUUUCGGUACAUUCUUCAUCAAUAUCAUUUAUUUUUUCUAAUAAUGAAUUUACACUCUUCAAACUUGACAUUUGGGACAUGAAUAUUCAACUGAAAAUAAAUUUUAUUCAAAAUAAAAACUAAAAUGUAUAAAUGUAAAUCCAAAUACAUAAAGAAAUGAAUAAAAGAUAAAAUGUGAAACUUACGGCGAAGUACUGAUGAUUUUGUCUAGUUUUUUGGAAAUGACACUUAUAACACAUAAAACAAUACUUAUAACAACAUAAAAUACAGGUAGAAUAAUAAUAGAAUAGAAAUACAAAAUAAUAAAAAACUGCUGAAUAUACUUCUUGUGACUUUGACGUACUGAUGUUCUAUGUUCGCGUCGCAAGAGUUUAUUGAUUUCAAAUUCAUCAAAAAACGUUUGGGCGUCCCCUUCGGCUAAAAUUUUAUUUAUUUUAUAAUCAUAGUAAAUGAGACAGUGUUAGAAAAUCCUAAGUUCUUGACUGCGUCGAAUACCAAUCAGGCAAAUAAAUACCGCGAGACCGAUAGGCGAGCGAAAGCUAUAUACACUUGGAAGGGCCGUAAAGCAGUACCUGGAAGGCACUUUUUGGAUAAUAUCAUGCUAAAACUGCAUUAUCUUUCGUUUAUAACGUAUUUAUAAGUUCGGAAUUGAGCCUCUGAGAGAAUACUAUUACAAAAAGUUAUAAAUCGUUCUACCGGUCAAAUGACCGGUCGUGGUAGGUAAGACAGACUACUAAUUUUUCUCAAAAACUAAACAAUAAAGAACGAAAUAAAUAUUGAAAAAAGUAUUAUAUGCAUGUUUCAGGAAAAGUCAUGAAGUUUAAAGGCGUUUCAAUUACGCUUUAUACAGGAAAUUCUAAUCGAAAUUUUGAAAACGGUCAUUUGACCGGUCGCGGUAGGAAUAGUGUUAAU